rnacentral:tRNA from 1 species
GCGGGGAUGCCGGAGUGGUCAAACGGGACAGGCUUAGGACCUGUUAGCUCAGUGCUUACCUAGGUUCGAAUCCUAGUCCUCGCA